rnacentral:rRNA from 1 species
UACGGAGGAUGCAAGCGUUAUCCGGAAUUAUUGGGCGUAAAGCGUCCGCAGGUGGCACUUCAAGUCUGCUGUCAAAGACCGGGGCUUAACCCUGGAAAGGCAGUGGAAACUGAAGCGCUAGAGUGUGGCAGGGGUAGAGGGAAUUCCCGGUGUAGCGGUGAAAUGCGUAGAGAUCGGGAAGAACAUCGGUGGCGAAAGCGCUCUACUGGGCCGUAACUGACACUCAGGGACGAAAGCUAGGGGAGCGAAUGGG